rnacentral:rRNA from 1 species
GACGAACGCUGGCGGCGUGCCUAAUACAUGCAAGUAGAACGCUGAAGGAGGAGCUUGCUUCUCUGGAUGAGUGGCGAACGGGUGAGUAACGCGUGGGUAACCUGCCUGGUAGCGGGGGAUAACUAUUGGAAACGAUAGCUAAUACCGCAUAAUAGUAGAUGUUGCAUGACAUUUGCUUAAAAGGUGCAAUUGCAUCACUACCAGAUGGACCUGCGUUGUACUAGCUAGUUGGUGGGGUAACGGCUCACCAAGGCGACGAUACAUAGCCGAACGGAGAGGGGGAGCGGCCAGACUGGGAGUGAGACAGGGCACAUAGUCCUACGGGAGGCAGCAGGAGGGAAACUUCGGCAAUGGACGGAAGUCUGACCGAGCAAGGCGGCGUGAGGGAAGAAGGUUGUCGGAUCGGAAAGCUCGGUUGUAAGAGUAGAACGAGUGUGAGAGUGGAAAGUUCACACUGUGACGGUAUCUGAUCAGAAAGGGACGGCUAACUACGUG